CAUUAACUGAAUCCAUAGGUUAAUGAGGCGAACCGGGGGAACUGAAACAUCUAAGUACCCCGAGGAAAAGAAAUCAACCGAGAUUCCCCCAGUAGCGGCGAGCGAACGGGGAGCAGCCCAGAGCCUGAAUCAGUAUGUGUGUUAGUGGAAGCGUCUGGAAAGGCGCGCGAUACAGGGUGACAGCCCCGUACACAAAAAUGCACAUGCUGUGAGCUCGAUGAGUAGGGCGGGACACGUGGUAUCCUGUCUGAAUAUGGGGGGACCAUCCUCCAAGGCUAAAUACUCCUGACUGACCGAUAGUGAACCAGUACCGUGAGGGAAAGGCGAAAAGAACCCCGGCGAGGGGAGUGAAAAAGAACCUGAAACCGUGUACGUACAAGCAGUGGGAGCACGCUUAGGCGUGUGACUGCGUACCUUUUGUAUAAUGGGUCAGCGACUUAUAUUCUGUAGCAAGGUUAACCGAAUAGGGGAGCCGAAGGGAAACCGAGUCUUAACUGGGCGUUAAGUUGCAGGGUAUAGACCCGAAACCCGGUGAUCUAGCCAUGGGCAGGUUGAAGGUUGGGUAACACUAACUGGAGGACCGAACCGACUAAUGUUGAAAAAUUAGCGGAUGACUUGUGGCUGGGGGUGAAAGGCCAAUCAAACCGGGAGAUAGCUGGUUCUCCCCGAAAGCUAUUUAGGUAGCGCCUCGUGAAUUCAUCUCCGGGGGUAGAGCACUGUUUCGGCAAGGGGGUCAUCCCGACUUACCAACCCGAUGCAAACUGCGAAUACCGGAGAAUGUUAUCACGGGAGACACACGGCGGGUGCUAACGUCCGUCGUGAAGAGGGAAACAACCCAGACCGCCAGCUAAGGUCCCAAAGUCAUGGUUAAGUGGGAAACGAUGUGGGAAGGCCCAGACAGCCAGGAUGUUGGCUUAGAAGCAGCCAUCAUUUAAAGAAAGCGUAAUAGCUCACUGGUCGAGUCGGCCUGCGCGGAAGAUGUAACGGGGCUAAACCAUG
rnacentral:rRNA from 1 species